rnacentral:rRNA from 1 species
GACGAACGCUGGCGGCGUGCUUAACACAUGCAAGUCGAACGAGUGGCGAACGGGUGAGUAAUACGUGGGUAACCUGCCCUCCCUUUGGGAUAAGCCUUGGAAACGGGGUCUAAUACCGUAUAUAGGGGGAUGGGCUCGGGGCCUCUCAGCUUGUUGGUGGGGUGAUGGCCUACCAAGGCGGUGCCGGGUCGCCGGCCUGAGGGCGGGACCGGCCAGUGUGAGACGGAGAUACGGCCCAGAGACCUACGGGGAGCAGCAGUGGGGGAAAUUGCACAAUGGGGGAAGGCCUAAGGCAGCUACGCCACGUGGGGGUUGAAGGCUUUCGGGUUGUUUGCCUCUGUCGCUAACGAACAGGUAGGUAGAGAGAAAGCGCCGGCUAACUACGUGCCAGCAGCCGCGGUAAUAC